rnacentral:rRNA from 1 species
GACGUAGGGCGCGAGCGUGUCCGGAUUUAUUGGGCGUAAAGAGCUCGUAGGCGGUUUGUCGCGUCGAAUGUGAAAACCCGGGGCUCAACCCCGGGCCUGCAUUCGAUACGGGCAGACUAGAGUUCGGUAGGGGAGUCUGGAAUUCCUGGUGUAGCGGUGAAAUGCGCAGAUAUCAGGAGGAACACCGGUGGCGAAGGCGGGACUCUGGGCCGAUACUGACGCUGAGGAGCGAAAGCGUGGGGAGCAAACAGG